rnacentral:rRNA from 1 species
UCCAGUUGAUCCUGCUGGAGGGUACUGCUAUCGGAGUUCGACUAAGCCAUGCAAGUCUAACCCAAGGACUUCCUGGGGUGGCAGACUGCUGAGUAACACGUAGUCAAUCUACCCUAUAGACGGGGAUAACCUCGAGAAAUUGAGGAUAAUACCCGAUAUUCCUCUUAUGCUGGAAUGCUUAGAGGUUUAAAUGGGCGGUGAAUUGGAGCCGUUCCGCUGUAGGACGAGACUGCGGGGGAUUAUGGUUGUUGGUAGGGUAAUGGCUACCAAGCCGAUAAUCUCUAGGGGCCAUGAGAGUGGUGGCCCCCAGAAGGACACUGAGACAAGGGUCCUAGCCCUACGGGGUGCAGCAGGCGCGAAACCUCUACAAUGCUGGAAACAGUGAUAGGGGGACUCCGAGUGGCGUCGGCUAAGCUGGCGUCUUUUGCCAAGUGUAAAUAGCUUGGAGAAUAAGGGUGUGGGCAAGACUGGUGGCAGCCGCCGCGGUAACACCAGCGCCUCAAGUGGUACCCACGAAUACUGGGCCUAGAGCGUUCGUAGCCGGCCAAAUAAGUCUUCUGUGAAAUAGUAGGGCUUAACCCUACUGCGCGCAGGAGAUACUGUUUGACUUGGGAACGGGGGAGGUCAGGAGUACACCCGGGGUAGGGGUAAAAUCCUUUGAGCCUGGGUGGACUACCAGUGGCGAAGGCGCCUGACCAAAACAUGUCCGACGGUGAGGAACGAAAGCUGGGGGAGCGAACGGGAUUAGAUACCCCGGUAGUCCCAGCCGUAAAUGAUGCAGACUGUGGUGUUGCUUCAGAGUUAAUCUGCAGCAGUGCUGUAGCGUAGGUGUUAAGUCUGCCGCCUGGGGAGUACGGCCGCAAGGUUGAAACUUAAAGGAAUUGGCGGGGGAGCACCACAAGGGGUGGAUGCUACGGUUUAAUUGGAUACAACGCCGUGAACUUCACCAAGGGCGACGGCAGAAUGAAGGUCAGACUAAAGAUCUUACCUAACAAGCCGAGAGGUGUUGCAUGGCCAUCGUCAGCUCGUGGCGUGAGUUGUCAGGUUAAGUCCUGCAACGAGCGAGACCCAUACCAUUAAUUGCUACUUUUACCUUUAGUAAGAGGCACCUUAAUGGGACUGCCCGCGUUAAGUGGGAGGAAGGAGUGGGCGACGGUAGGUCAGUAUGGCCCGAAUCCCUUGGGCUACACGCGGCAUACAAUGGCUGGAACAAUGGGUUGCUACUCCGAAAGGAGACGCUAAUCCCCUAAAUCCAGUCUUAGUUCGGAUUGAGGGUUGAAACUCACCCUCAUGAAGCUGGAAUCCCUAGUAAUCGCGUGUCAUCAUCGCGCGGUGAAUACGUCCCCGCUCCUUGCACACACCGCCCGUCAAGUCACCCAAAUGUGGUGUAGGUGAGGCUCCGGUUAUUGCCGGAUUCGAACCUAUGUUGCGUGAGGGGGGCUAAGUCGUAACAAGGUA